CCUACGGGAGGCAGCAGUGAGGAAUAUUGGUCAAUGGGCGGAAGCCUGAACCAGCCAAGUAGCGUGCAGGAUGACGGCCCUACGGGUUGUAAACUGCUUUUAUACGGGAAUAACGCGCCUUACGUGUAGGGUUUUGCAUGUACCGUAUGAAUAAGGACCGGCUAAUUCCGUGCCAGCAGCCGCGGUAAUACGGAAGGUCCGGGCGUUAUCCGGAUUUAUUGGGUCUAAGGGGAGCGUAGGCCGCAUGUCAAGCGUGCUGUGAAAUGUCCGGGCUCAACCCGGGCCUUGCAGCGCGAACUGGCGUGCUUGAGUCCGCGGAAAGCAGGCGGAAUUCGUCGUGUAGCGGUGAAAUGCUUAGAUAUGACGAAGAACCCCGAUUGCGAAGGCAGCUUGCUGCAGCGGAACUGACGCUGAUGCUCGAAAGCGCGGGUAUCGAACAGGAUUAGAUACCCUAGUAGUC
rnacentral:rRNA from 1 species